UGACAUGAUGAUCUCAUUUAAUGGAAUCUCGUUCGUCUGAAAAGUUCUGAUGAGAAUUACUGUAUCUGACAGAC